GGUAGAGGCAAUGCACCUGAGUAACUGGAAGGGGUGGAUCCUGGCUCCACCCCUUCCCAGACCUCAUUUAAGGGUUGGCAGUGGAGGUGAGGGUAUUUCUGGUUGGAGAUCCUUGACUACCUGAGGCUUUCUAAAGCAUUACAACUGCAAAACUCUUCUUCUGUGAACUGACUCAGCAUCCAUCUGCAUAUGCCAAAUUUGGAAUCAUCAUGCCACAAUGGUGUUGCUGCAGAACUGAUGCUUCUACUCCAUUCGCUGCAGCAAGACAUUCGGAGAUGAGGCCCUGAGGUCAGCUUUAACCUAAAUCUGGUCGCUCCUCAAGGAGAGCUCUGAAGAAAAUUAAGAUUGUUAAGGGAGCAACUUUAUUAGGAAGAAAACAUUGCUUUAAUUGCUCAGACAAGCAACAAGGUGGAUUCCGUGCAUUGUUUUGGGUUUUUUUGUAAGGACACUCUCUGCUUUGCGAACUUCUUGGACAUACUACUUGUUUCUUUAAACCCAAAUAAAUUCCUUUUAAGAAGAGUUCUAAUUUCACCAUAUUACUGCUUAAUUUUUUUUUUAACUUAGAAAAUGAAAAACUUCUUUGUUAAAUAGGUGUUAGAUGUCCGGACUUUAAAGUAAUAUUCAUUUUUACUGAAGGCUUGCAUGUUGCAUUGUUUAGAUGGAAAAUCUAAUGAUAGAAAAUAGGCUGUUUCUAGCAAUGUCUAGCUAAAAUGUCUAGCUAAAAAUGUCUAGCAAAAUCUAGAAACCUGCAACCAAAUAUGUCUGGACUAUUGCUACCCUCAGGACACUGGAACUUCAUGCUAAAAUACUUUCAUUUAUAAUCUCAUUUUAACACCUGGCUCUAUUCCAUUGUUUUGAGUGAUACAAAAUCAGUAGGUACACAUUUUCCAUAACUCUAAGGUUCCUGGAGUUUAGGCUAACCCUGUCAGUAGAAGUUGAAAGGACGUAACAUUUUGCUCUAAGAACUGGCAGCCUGUUUGCUGUUGUUGCUUGUGUUCAGAUAUCAUACAAAGGGUACCACUAGAGUAGCUCUGAUUUUCUUAGUAGCCAAUGUUUUCACUUGCUGCAUUUUGCUCUCCUCCAGGUUUUUAAUGCCUUUGCUUUUUCUUUGAUGAUUUUUUUUUUGUAGUCAAAGAAGAUCUUUAGUACUUUAAAACUAUAGUG
rnacentral:lncRNA from 1 species